GGCCAUAUAGCGUUUAAAUACCGAUUUCCGUACGAUCAACGAAGUUAAGCAAUGUCUAGCCUAGUCAGUACCUAGAUGGGUGAUCGCUUGGGAAUACCAGGUGCUGUAAG